UAGACAGAUUAUUGUAUUCGACUGUAUUCAUGGCGCAAUUCAUGGUCUAUUCAGCUGUUUUUAAACGGAAAGUGAAUCAAUUAACAUAAUAGACUCCU
rfam:Nicotiana attenuata strain TT chromosome 1, whole genome shotgun sequence.